rnacentral:snRNA from 1 species
AGUAUAACCAGGCAGAGGUUAACCGUGAUCACCAAGGCGGUUCCUCCAAGGCGAGACUCGCUCAUUGCACUUCAAAUGGGCUGACCCUUGCGAUUACCCCAAAUGUGGGUAACUCGAGUGCGUAAUUUAUGUUAAAUUAUGCAGUGUGUAUUC